rnacentral:lncRNA from 1 species
CCCGCGCUCCUCCGGGCAGAGCGCGUGUGGCGGCCGAGCACAUGGGCCCGCGGGCCGGGCGGGCUCGGGGCGGCCGGGACGAGGAGGGGCGACGACGAGCUGCGAGCAAAGAUGUGCCCCGGGACCCCCGGCACCUUCCAGUGGAUUUCCUUGCGGAAAGGAUGUUGGCGGUCCCUGUGACCUGUGGAGACACGGCCAGAUCUGCCCUCCAGCCUGAUCUUUUGGCCAGAAGGAGAUUAAAAAGAUGCCCCUCAAGAUGGCUGUGCCUGUCAGCUGCAUGGAGCUUCGUUCAAGUAUUUUCUGAGCCUGAUGGAUUUACAGUGAUCUUCAGUGGUCUGGGGAAUAACGCUGGUGGAACCAUGCACUGGAAUGACACACGCCCGGCACAUUUCAGGAUACUAAAAGUGGUUUUAAGGGAGGCUGUGGCUGAAUGCCUCAUGGAUUCUUACAGCUUGGAUGUCCAUGGGGGACGAAGGACUGCAGCUGGCUGAGAGGGUUGAGAUCUCUGUUUACUUAGAUCUCUGCCAACUUCCUUUGGGUCUCCCUAUGGAAUGUAAGACCCCGACUCUUCCUGGUGAAGCAUCUGAUGCACGUUCCAUCCGGCGCUCAGCUGGGCUUGAGCUGACCAUACUCCCUGGAGCCUUCUCCCGAGGUGCGCGGGUGACCUUGGCACAUACAGCCAUCAUGAUGGUACUUUAAGUGGAGGCUGAAUCAUCUCCCCUUUGAGCUGCUUGGCACGUGGCUCCCUUGGUGUUCCCCUUUUACUGCCAGGACACUGAGAUUUGGAGAGAAUCCUGUUACACCUGGGAUUUAGGCACUUUCAAUCUGAAAAAAUACAUAUCCUUUCAGCACUCUGGACGGACUUGAGAACUGUCCUUACGUGACCUAAAGCUGGAGUAUUUUGAGAUUGGAGAAUUAAGGCCAACAGAGAUUUUGAGAAACACAUUGAAGGAUCUGUUAACACUUGAUAUACCCAAUAAAAGCAGUGGUUGUGCCAGUGCUGAUCUGUCUUGAUGUGAAUGUGAACAAUGGGAACCUGAGCUGAGCAGUUAAUGCUAGGGUGACAGAAACUGGACCUCUCCCAAGACAUGUGACAGAGUAAUACAGCAGCCAACUUCUUCGCCAAAUUAAAGUUUUACAAGAUUUAACCUGUCAUCAAGACCUGGGAUUUUGGUGAGCCAGUCUUGGUGCUCUGUGUUCACCUGGUUCAUCUGAGGAGCUGCAUCUACCCUGCCCAUGCCAUAGAUCCUGCCCUGUUUGCUUCUCCUGUUGCUGCUAGUGGACAUGAGGCUUGCUGGGGACACAUACGUCAUGCCCUGAAGCGUUCCGGAACCGGUAGGGGCUGCCUGUCCUGCCACUCACCCACUCCAGCUAGGAACUCCUCAGUGGGCAAGAUAAUUGAGCCCAGGUUGAAUUAUGACGUUCACAGAAGGACAGAAUAACGGGCUCCCAGAUUCACAAGCCCCACCAAGAGGAUCACCCCAGGAACGCUUGGAGGCUGAGGAGUUCACUGAGGCUACUGCAUCUUGAGACUCAGGAUGAAGACCCAGCUUGGGGCUGUCAAAGGUUUUUUGCAUGUCUGACACCCAUGACUCCACCUGGACCUUAUGGCUCCACCCAGAAGCAAUUCAGCCCAACAGGAGGACAGCUUCAACCCAUUACGAUUUCAUCUCUGCCCCAACCACUCAGCAGCAAGCACCUGUUACCUGUCCACCCCCACCCCUUCCCCCAAACUGCCUUUGAAAAAUCCCUAACCUAUGAGCUUUGAAUAAGAUGAGUACGAACUUCAUCGCCCACGUGGCGUGGCCGGCCUCGUGUCUAUUAAAUUCUUUUUCUACUACAA